GAGAGGGACCACUGGGGACUGGGCAGCCUGGGCCCCUGCUGGCCCCUCUCCGAGGGGGCCGGGGUGGUGAGGGGUGCCAGGCCCCCCGGUUUCACCAGAGGGUGUGAAGUGCAAAGGCAGGGCUGGCUAUGGGGUGGGACAGAUCAGCACUGGGCACAUCUCUCCCAGCACCCCAUGCAGUUUGUUUGGCCCUUUUCUGUUGUGAUUUCAGCUCCUGAGAGCCUCCCGAAGUUGAGGAAAGUGAAAGGUUCUUCCUUGGGACAAGGAGCAGGACAGGUGCUGCAUUUUAUGUUCCUCACCUCCUUACUGGUGGAUUUAUUGAAGCCCUUGCUCUCAAUCUGUCUGUUUCAUGGAAUAGUUCCUCCAGGAAUCUGGGUUGUGAGAUACCUGGCCUAGUGAUUUGAUCACAGAAAGGUCUUGGAUCUUCCCUUCUCUCUCAGCUGUGCUACAGCACCAGUCCAUGGCAGAAGGGGAGUGUUGGAGCCAAACUUGCUUCACCCCUUACAGACACAACCCUCCACUCAUAUUGCAGAGAUACCACCUGAGCAGGAAUCACUUUCCCCUUGUUGUGGAGGAAUAUCUCCCACCUGCUGCCUGGAGAUGCCCUGCAUGUGAGAACAGUGUCUGGAGGUGGGACUACCUGGGGAAGUGGUGAAUUGCAAUUGGCUACUGCUUCGUAAAUCCCCCCACACUGGAAGAGGUUUGAGCUGAAGAUUUCCUAAGGGCAGCUGGGAAUUCACAACCCUGAGCUGUGUUUGGCUCCUGGGACCUUUGAGAAGAAGCCAUGUGGACGUGUUUUUCAGACAUUUUUGUGUCAGCCUUUAUGUACCACUUCCACGGUUUAAUGUUUUAAAUCAUGACAAACACCCUCCCAGUCGAAACAGCUCCUAUCAAAGUGGCACUCGCUCUCAUAACACCCUGCCACCCACAAGGAUGUGCUGAUUGCUGCCAACCUUUUGGCAAGCUCUUUGCUUUUGUAUUAGGACAAGGUGAUUGACAAUGCUUUGUGUGUCUUGAUAAUGGAGAAAUGUACUAUUUAGAGAGAGAAAAAUUCACGUAAGUGUCUCCCCAACAUGAUCUGCUGACUGCCUUUUCCUUUUUUCUUCCCCCCACAUUUAAAAAAUGUAUCAAGCCAGACAGCUGCAGUGGCUGAAGAAAGCAGCUAAUUCCCCUAACAAGUCUCUUGCAGAGAGAAGUGCCAGCCAACCCAACUCUGAACAUGGGACUGGAAGUGUGUAUAGGAUUAGGGGCAUAUCUGGUGGCCCAGAUUCUCCAAAGCCAAUUAAUGACUGUUACAGAAGGAGGAUUUUCUUUCUAAGGUUAGAAAUGAAUCCUUGAGUAUGGAGGGGGAAAUAAAAAAAAAGAAGAAGGAAAAAAGCUAGAAGAGCUCAGGACUCAAAGGGAAAGUUCAAAGGGUUGGUUUUUUUUGGAGCUGGAGUUCAGAAGAGAGGAGUUUGUGUGAGCGUGUGUGUUUCUGUACCGCUCUCUUCCUUCCUCCAGCUCUGUUUUCCUUAUUGAUCCCUCUCAUAACACGAUUUCCCUCUGGUAUAAUUGAGCGAAAAAUAACUGAGAGUAAAGUCUUGUAGAUUUGCUCCUGACCGAGCGUUAGUCUUGUCCUAGAUGGCCCUGGACCAGCACAGAGGCCAAGUGCUGUUCAGUGCUGUCCCACCAAGCCCAAGGGCAGCUUUGGAGCAACGUAUGAACACAGAUGUUGGGGGCUGGGGCUGCUCUGCAAAGCAGGGAAACAUGCCCAGUUUUCCUCAGUCCCUUUUUUUCCCCCCUCAGCAAUCUGAAAGUGGAGUUCCUGGAGAGCAGAAGGAUUUGCUGGAGAUGCUCUCUGUGGCCGUGCACCCACCUUGAGGUACCAGUGGGCAGUGACUGUGCUGGACCCAGAGGUGGCUUUUGGGAGCCCAUGCAGUAGGUUUGCACCACUCCACUGCCUCUCCCAGCUUCCAUUCCAUACGCAUCCCUGUCUCU